AGAGGAUUGAGUCAUUUUGCGUUCCUUUUUACUAUUUGGUUUUCUUGCUAGUGCUACUAAAGAAAUAAUAAAGCUAAUCCCUAAGAUUGCUGUUAAUGUCCA
rnacentral:antisense_RNA from 1 species